UUGCGUGGCGGCUGCCGUCGCGGUUGCUCGAUGCAGGGGAUUACGAUUGCCAUGGCGGCUGCGGUGGUUUUGCACGGACACGACGAACAACGGCUCCUCGAUCCGUUCGGUUCCAUAGCAUGGCGGGAUGCUGUGGGGCGGCGAACAGCCGUGAAGUUCAAUCACCAAGGAUGAUUGAUUGAGAGUUUAAUCGGCCAUUAAUGCCAGUCGAUGCUCCGGGCAGGUUCUCUACAAGGACGAAUUCAAGCUAUGUACUGCUUGGUUUCUUUCGUUAUUCCAGUUGAAUCUUGAAUCUGCCUGUAUCCGUGUUUUCCAAUUAGUUCUUCUCUGUUCUUCCCCCAAUUCUUCCUCCAUCAAAUAUAUAAUUUUUAUUUAUUGA